GAUGAACGCUGGCGGCGUGCCUAAUACAUGCAAGUCGAGCGAACGGACGAGAAGCUUGCUUCUCUGAUGUUAGCGGCGGACGGGUGAGUAACACGUGGAUAACCUACCUAUAAGACUGGGAUAACUUCGGGAAACCGGAGCUAAUACCGGAUAAUAUUUUGAACCGCAUGGUUCAACAGUGAAAGACGGUCUUGCUGUCACUUAUAGAUGGAUCCGCGCUGCAUUAGCUAGUUGGUAAGGUAACGGCUUACCAAGGCAACGAUGCAUAGCCGACCUGAGAGGGUGAUCGGCCACACUGGAACUGAGACACGGUCCAGACUCCUACGGGAGGCAGCAGUAGGGAAUCUUCCGCAAUGGGCGAAAGCCUGACGGAGCAACGCCGCGUGAGUGAUGAAGGUCUUCGGAUCGUAAAACUCUGUUAUUAGGGAAGAACAUAUGUGUAAGUAACUGUGCACAUCUUGACGGUACCUAAUCAGAAAGCCACGGCUAACUACGU
rnacentral:rRNA from 1 species